AUUUAAUUCAGGUAAAUUUGUUUGCAGGUUCUUCUUCUCCAUCUUAAUUGAUUCUAUCUUAACAAAAGAUUCAGCGUAUAGCUUCUCCAAUGAUUAACGUAAGAGCAGAAUAAAUCAAGAGUGCCUGCAAAUCUGAAGCUUGUACUCAAUCUAUGCACCACGACCAGUUGUACGCCAUUUUUCUCAGCGUAUAUAUGGUGCACUUAAAUAGAUCGAUGUAUCUCAAGCUUCUAGAAUGGAGUGUGGGGUGUGCAUAAAUUUC